UUUGCUGAAAUUGAGGGCUAUUAUACUAUCAUUUCUUCUCAACAUGGACAAAAAUUUUGUACAAACUGGAGACGUUGUAUUUUAGUUUCACUGCCCCAAGAAAGGAAAGAUACAACAAUAAAGAAAAGAUAAUAAAUAAAUAAAACAAUGAGAAAUAAGUAAGGACUCAAGUUCUGAAUUUCAAAAUGUACUUUUGAAUUCAAGGGAGACCCAACUGCCUCAAGACAAAAACUUCAGUUGCAUGGCUCAUUGUCAAAAGAGACUUGCCUUAUAUCAGAUGAAACUUUGGAUUAUGGACUUUUGA
rnacentral:lncRNA from 13 species